CCCCCUUCCCCGGCCACGACCCUGAACCCAUCCGGAGCUCCUCCAACCCCCAACCCCGGGGCGGGGCCUUCCGGGAGGGAUCGGCGGAGCCAUGGAGAAACCGUGGGGGGAGAGCCGCCCUACUGAGGGCCGUUACGAGGAUCCUAAUGGGGAUCCCGAUGAGGAUCACUAUAGGGACUCCGAUGAGGAUUUGUAUGAGUUCCCCGAUGAGGGCCCCGACGAUGGCCCGGAGGUACUGGGGGGUCCUAUGGGGUCCUAUGGGGUCCUGUGGGAUCCUAUGGAGUUCUAUGGGGUCCUAUGGGGUCCUAGACCCACAUUAUAGGGUCCUAUGGGGUCCUGGACCCACACUAUGGGGUCCUGUGGGGUCCUAUGGGGUCCUGGACCCACACUAUGGGGUCCUGUGGGGUCCUAUGGAGUCCUGGACCCAAAUAAAUGGGUUCCUAUGGGGUCUUGGACCCACAUUAUAGGGUCCUAUGGUGUCCUAUGGGGUCCUGGACCCACAUUAUAGGGUCCUAUGGUGUCCUAUGAGGUCCUGGACCCACAUUAUAGGGUUCUUGGGG
ensembl:lncRNA